rnacentral:lncRNA from 1 species
AAAAGGAUUUGUGAGGCUAGUCUUAAGCUGCAGCGAAUCUGGUGUGCUUUACGUGUUUUUCUGUAUUGUUCCAUCAUAAAGAGGGGUACCUUAUGAUGGAACACAGGCUUAGGACACCCAUAAGCCUGCUUUUCAAGACGGCCCAGCAAACUGGAGUCAAGGAAACUUUUCAGCUAUUUACAGCUUUUAACAAUUGAGUAAAGCAUACUCCUGUGAACAAAAUUUGGAACAUAUUUGUUUCUCUCUACCUGAUUUCUCCACAAUUUGGAAACUAUGUAUAUCACCUUUUGUUGGACUCAAGAGUUAUGAAUGGCCCUCACCAUACUGAUGCUUUCUGACUGAGCUCCUCACUACCCUGAACACAAGAGGGAGGAAUAUCAUCGCCCCUAUUCAGCCUGGAGAAGUUACAAAAGAUGGAUCUUCGUCCCUCUGCAACCCUUAGGAUUAAUGGUUCUCCUAUAAAAGGGAUGGGGGGAAAAUGUCAGAGGCAUUUGAACAAGAGCAACUCCAUCUUAAAGAGGAGCUGGGUAAAAUAAGGCUGAAACCUACUGGGCUGCAUUCCCAGAUGGUUAAGGCAUUCUAAGUCACAGGAUGAGAUGGGAGGUUGGCACAAAAUACAGGUCAUAAAGACCCUGCUGAUAAAACAGGUUGCAGUAAAGAAGCUGGCCAAAACCCACCAAAACCAAGAUGGCAAUGAGACUGACCUCUGGUCGUCCUCACUGCUACACUCCCAUCAGUGCCAUGACAGUUUACAGAUGCCAUGGCAACAUCAGGAAGUUACCCUAUAUGGCCUAGAAAGGGGAGGCAUGAAUAAUCCACCUCUUGUUUAGCAUAUCAUCAAGAAAUAACCAUAAAAAUGGACAACCAGCAGCCCUGGGGACUGCUGUGCCUGUGGAGUAGCCAUUCUUUUAUUCCUUUACUUUUUUUUUUUUUUUUUUUUUUUGGAGACGAGUCUCGCUCAGUCACCCAGGCUGGAGUGCAGUGGCACUAUCUCGGCUCAUUGCAAGCUCCGCCUCCCAGGUUCACGCCAUUCUCCUGCCUCAGCCUCCCGUGUAGCUGGGACUACAGGUGCCCACCACUACGCCCAGCUAAUUUUCUUGUAUUUUUAGUAGAGACGGGGUUUCACCCUGUUAGCCAGGAUGGUCUCGAUCUCCUGACCUCGUGACCUGCCCAUCUCGGCCUCCCAAAGUGCUGGGAUUACAGGCGUGAGCCACCGCACCUGGCCUAUUCCUUUACUUUCUUAAUAAACUUGCGUUUACUUUGCACUGUGGACUCCGCCUGAAUUCUUUCUUGCAGGAGAUCCAAGAACCCUCUCUUGGGGUCUGGAUCAAAACUCCCUUUCCUGUAACAGUUUGCAGGAGAAUGUCUUCAAGGCCA